AAAUUAUUUAUGGUUAUUAUAUUGAGCAGUAUCUCAUAAUCGCUUGGUCGCUGGUUCAAGUCCAGCAGGGGCCACCA
rnacentral:tRNA from 7 species